GACGAACGCUGGCGGCGUGCUUAACACAUGCAAGUCGAACGGAAAGGCCCUGCUUUUGUGGGGUGCUCGAGUGGCGAACGGGUGAGUAACACGUGAGUAACCUGCCCUUGACUUUGGGAUAACUUCAGGAAACGGGGGCUAAUACCGGAUAGGAGCUCCUGCUGCAGGGGGGGGGUUGGAAAGUUUCGGCGGUUGGGGAUGGACUCGCGGCUUAUCAGCUUGUUGGUGGGGUAGUGGCUUACCAAGGCUUUGACGGGUAGCCGGCCUGAGAGGGUGACCGGCCACAUUGGGACUGAUAUACGGCCCAGACUCCUACGGGAGGCAGCAGUGGGGAAUAUUGCACAAUGGGCGGAAGCCUGAUGCAGCAACGCCGCGUGCGGGAUGACGGCCUUCGGGUUGUAAACCGCUUUCGCCUGUGACGAAGCGUGAGUGACGGUAAUGGGUAAAGAAGCACCGGCUAACUACGUG
rnacentral:rRNA from 1 species